rnacentral:rRNA from 1 species
AGUGAACGCUGGCGGCAGGCCUAACACAUGCAAGUCGAACGGCAGCACAGUAAGAGCUUGCUCUUACGGGUGGCGAGUGGCGGACGGGUGAGGAAUACAUCGGAAUCUACUUUUUCGUGGGGGACAACGUAGGGAAACUUACGCUAAUACCGCAUACGAUCAACGGGUGAAAGCAGAGGAUCUUGGGACCUUGCGCGAUUGAAUGAGCCGAUGUCGGAUUAGCUAGUUGGCGGGGUAAAGGCCCACCAAGGCGACGAUCCGUAGCUGGUCUGAGAGGAUGAUCAGCCACACUGGAACUGAGACACGGUCCAGACUCCUACGGGAGGCAGCAGUGGGGAAUAUUGGACAAUGGGCGAAAGCCUGAUCCAGCCAUGCCGCGUGGGUGAAGAAGGCCUUCGGGUUGUAAAGCCCUUUUGUUGGGAAAGAAAAGCAGCAGGUUAAUACCCCGCUGUUCUGACGGUACCCAAAGAAUAAGCACCGGCUAACUACGUG